AUUGAACGCUGGCGGCAUGCCUUACACAUGCAAGUCGAACGGCAGCACGGGAGCAAUCCUGGUGGCGAGUGGCGAACGGGUGAGUAAUAUAUCGGAACGUGCCCAGUCGUGGGGGAUAACGUAGCGAACGCUACGCUAAUACCGCAUACGAUCCAUGGAUGAAAGCGGGGGAUCGCAAGACCUCGCGCGAUUGGAGCGGCCGAUAUCAGAUUAGCUAGUUGGUGGGGUAAAAGCCCACCAAGGCGACGAUCUGUAGCUGGUCUGAGAGGACGACCAGCCACAGUGGACCUGAGACACGGUCCAGACUCCUACGGGAGGCAGCAGUGGGGAAUUUUGGACAAUGGGCGAAAGCCUGAUCCAGCAAUGCCGCGUGCAGGACGAAGGCCUUCGGGUUGUAAACUGCUUUUGUACGGAGCGAAACGGUCCUCUCUAAUACAGGGGGCUAAUGACGGUACCGUAAGAAUAAGCACCGGCUAACUACGUGCCAGCCGCCGCAGUAA
rnacentral:rRNA from 1 species